UACAGAGGUGCCGAGCGUUAGGCGGAAUCACGUAGGCUUAAGCGUGCGGUAGGCGGGCGAUCUAAUGUGUACUUCGUGAAAUCCCGACGGCACUCAACCGGUGGAACUGUUUGGGCAUACUGGACGCCUUGAGGCACACAGGGGGCGAGCGGAACAAGUGGUGGAGCGGUGAAAUGCGUAGAUAUCACUUGGAACGCCGACGGUGAAAACAGCUCGCUGGGUGUGUUCUGACGCUGAGGCACGAAAGCCAGGGGAGCGAACGGG
rnacentral:rRNA from 1 species